CAGUCGAGGGGCAGCGGGGGUGCAGGCUUGCCUGCACCUGCCGGCGACCGGCGCACGGGUGAGUAACACGUAUGGAACCUGCCCGCCACAGGGGGAUAACCCGGGGAAACCCGGCCUAAUACCCCAUGCCGCCCGGACCGGGCAUCCGGUCCGGGCGAAAGGAGGAAUCCGGUGGCGGCUGGGCAUGCGGCGCAUUACCUUGACGGCGGGGUAACGGCCCACCGUGGCGACGAUGCGUAGGGGUUCUGAGAGGAAGGCCCCCCACACUGGAACUGAGACACGGUCCAGACUCCUACGGGAGGCAGCAGUGAGGAAUAUUGGUCAAUGGGCGGAAGCCUGAACCAGCCAAGUCGCGUGAGGGAAUAAGGCCCUACGGGUCGUAAACCUCUUUUGCCGGGGAGCAAGGGCGGGGACGAGUCCCGGCCCGGAGAGUACCCGGAGAAAAAGCAUCGGCUAACUCCGUGCCAGCAGCCGCGGUAAUACGGAGGAUGCGAGCGUUAUCCGGAUUUAUUGGGUUUAAAGGGUGCGUAGGCGGGCUUUUAAGUCAGCGGUAAAAAUUCGGGGCUCAACCCCGUCCGGCCGUUGAAACUGGGGGCCUUGAGUGGGCGAGAAGAAGGCGGAAUGCGUGGUGUAGCGAUGAAAUGCAUAGAUAUCACGCAGAACCCCGAUUGCGAAGGCAGCCUUCCGGCGCCCUACUGACGCUGAGGCACGAAAGUGCGGGGA
rnacentral:rRNA from 1 species